UAAAGUGGGGUACUAUCAUCUAAAUCUCCAAAAAGGUCAUUCAACUCUGAUCCCUGUUUAAAGAGAGAAAAAAGGAAUAAAGGAGCCUUUGAAGGCAGAAUAUUGCUCACUCAUCUCUUUGAAAGGACCUCAGACUGCAGAGCAGAAGAACCACUGGCUACAUCAGCUGGGGCAGAGGGGGAUGAAGAGAACAUCAUGAUGCCUGCAAAAAAGUGGGCUCUGCAGGAUCUCCAGUCACCUCCCUUCCCUUCAGAUCCAGAGCUCUCUCUGGCUAGGACCUUCCAGAGUUCCAGAAUUUUUGUUCCACCUUCCAUUGCUCACUUCUAUUACUAUUACUAAGAUAUUCACAUGGAAUUCUGUGCAAACCAUUUUUUUUUUCUUUUGGUGCCCUCUUUGUUUUACUUCCUCUAUUGGGACUAAUGGCCAUCUGACUUGGGGGUCCUUUGUUUUUUGUGACAAACCACCCUCAGCAGAUUUCCUUGAGGUCCAUUUGCUCAAGGGCCUUAAAGCUUUUUGGAGUAAUACAGAGUUGAAUCUCCUGUUUCCUGGACCCCAAGUCUUCUGUUUUCUUGAUUUACUUGCUGGGCUGAGGCACACCCUUAAGUAAUUCCCUAACAACAGGGUUGCUCCUAGAUGUGUGGGGCCUCAGAUAAAUAUUUUUUUGUGGGACCUUUUUCUAAAUAAAUAAUUUGACUAAGAAAGUAUUACAAAAUUCAUGGACCCACGUGGGGUAUAGUGUUUUAUUGAAAGUCAUUCAGAAUAAUGGAUACAGAUGAGGUACUUACAUAUUCAUUACUUAAUCAGUGCAUGUGAAAAUUCUUUCUUCAUAAUGUCCAGGCACUAUCUCUGUGUUCUUGGCUAAUUCCAUAUCUCCAGUCAUGAAGAAAAGUAGCAAUACUGUCAUUACUCACAAUGCCAAGUUCUUGGGAACUUGUUUACAAUGAACAAUAUAGAUCUGUACUACUUUUGCAAUACAAUUUAUUGAAGUCUGGUUAUAUUGUUAUAGAUGAUGCUGCACCAUGAAUACUGGCUUUCAAUGACUUUCUCAAAAGUUGUUGCUGUGCUUCAUUGUUGAUGACCAAAAAUGCAAGUCUUAUCCAGAGUAUGCAAGAAAAUGUGAACAAUAAUUUGUUUUCUGAUUAUGUUGAAUUUACUGUUUAUAAUCUGAACAUAGAGCAUGUCUUCCAACUCUAUCUUCUCUUAAACUCUAUGCUGUAAUUACUACAUUCCUAGACAGUGAUUCUUUUCAUGUUAACUGCACUCCUGCCUUCCACUCACUGCCACCAGUGGAGAGGACUAAAUGAAUGAGAAGAGCAGCCUCAUUGGCACAAGGAACAUCUCUCAUCAGGAAUGGCUUCAACUGAUCCAGGAGUGCUUGAUAUCCCCACAUCUGUGGAGGCAGGGGAGGACAUCAAUUGGAAAAGCCCCUUGCUGUUUCAGAGCAAAGAUCUUGAAAGCACCAGGUAGAGAAAGAUGUAGCCAUUGUCAAAAGACUGCCUGUUAGAUGAAUGGGACAGUGGGAUGACCACCCUGGGUUCAGUGGUAAAGUCAAAUGGAGUAAAGGAUGCCUGUUGCCACCCCAGCUGCACUUGGGUGCUGAAGAUCAGAAGUGAAACUACAGAACAAAUCCAGAUGAGAGCUCACCUAGGGGCUCACACAUAUAGUUCAGGCCAAGGUUCAGUGAUGGACCAUCAUCAGUACUCAGAGCACUGAACUUGUCCUGGGUGUGAUGUAUUUGAGAGUCACUUAAAAUCAUCAUAUCGCUGCCAUUUUGGCCACCCAAUCUCAUAGGAUUCUGUGAAAUAAAUAUGGCACUGGGCAGCAGGAGCAAUUCACUUGUCAGGAAUCCCUCCUGGAAUCAGGGCUUGGCCAAGGACUUCAAGCCAACCACCCAAGGCAUGAAUCCCAGAACUCCUGGGGGCAUCUGGCAACUUCAUGUGCAGAAUAUAUCUUCUCUGACCUAGUGUGGCUGAUGAUGAGAGGUCUGAUGCUGGUUGAAGUUCUUGGUUUUCACAGGUAUCUUUUACAUUUCUAUCUUUCCUGCUAAACCUUCUCAGUAUCUUCUAUUAUGGAUGUAUUGAAGUUUUAUAGUGAUGGGUCUAGAUGUGUGUGUGUAUGUCUGCAUGUGUAUGCACAUAUGUGAGUUGUCAACUUGAGCACUUGGGUACUUGAUUGGCUUCUUAAUUUGGAUACUCAUGUCCUUUGACUCUGGGACAAUCCUUUGCGAUAAUUCUUUGAUUUCUUUCUUUUUGUUUUUCUCUUUUUGUCACUCCUAUUGAUCAGAUGUGGGGCCUCUUGGACUGAUCCUCAACACAUCUUACCUUUCUCAUUUUCUUACAUCUUCUUGCCUUUGUUCUACAACAUUGGUUUUAUUAUAUUUUACCUACUAUUAGAAUUUCGGGCUCAUAUAUUUAUUUUUCAAUAGUUUUUCCUUGUUAGCUAGUUGUACUUUGUUGAUGCAAUAUUUUUUUUUACUACUCUUUCUAAGAAUAUUUAUUAAAGAGUUUUUAAAGGUUAAAUUGUGUUUCCAAAUUAUUUCUCUUCUUUCCAACGUUGCAUAUGCUGCUUGUUAAUCUUGGUUUCUCUCUUUUGGGUUGUAGAUGUUCCUCAGAGAUCUUUGGGUGUUACAUCACAUUUAAGAGCCAGACAAU
rnacentral:lncRNA from 1 species